UACGGGGGGGGCAAGCGUUGUUCGGAAUUACUGGGCGUAAAGGGCUCGUAGGCGGCCAACUAAGUCGGAUGUGAAAUCCCCAGGCUUAACCUGGGAACUGCAUCCGAUACUGGAUGGCUUGAAUCCGGGAGAGGGAUGUGGAAUUCCAGGUGUAGCGGUGAAAUGCGUAGAUAUCUGGAGGAACACCGGUGGCGAAGGCGGCAUCCUGGACCGGUAUUGACGCUGAUGCGCGAAAGCCAGGGGAGCAAACGGG
rnacentral:rRNA from 1 species